AGCACACACACACACACACACACUAUCUGCCUCGCUGUCAGUUCCUCCCCCUGCUGUUUCAAGUGUGACAGCCCAUUUUAUUUCCUUUCAUUUUCGCUUUGCGUUGGUCAAGAGAAGGUCUCUCUACAGAGUCAACGUCUCUGUGCUCUUCUUCUUCUGGAGACUCUUCGUCCACAGUAAUUUGUGACAGAAAAGAUGUGAAAGACUGAGCACAGCUUUCCACAGGAUCUACUCUAUCUCAAUCCGAUUGAUCGUCAAUAGGAUGUCCUGGAACAAAGGAGGCCCUACCUCACAACUGAGGACAGAAAGAAUCUGCAGCUAACGUUUUGGUGUCAGACACCACAGGACACCUUCAAAGGUCUUGUUAAGUCUGGGCUUUGGCAGGACAGAGCUGUUUUGGUGGUACAACGGUGACCUACACAUUAUAAGGCAAGUGGUUUUAAUGUUGUGGCUGAUCGCUGUAUAUUCACAUUCUUGGUAAUUCCAUCUCCUGUCUCGUCUCUUUUUUGUAUCCCCCACUGAAAAUCUGUUCUUGCUUCUGUUCUGGGGAUUUACUGUAGUGCACUCCCUUAAAUCCUGUAGUGCUGCUUAGAUUCACAGAGGACCACCUUAAAAAGUGUGUAAUUAUUUCUGCUAUGAAGGCUCUAAUCUCCUGGGAAUCUCUGAAAGAAACAGAAAAAUAACAAGCCAUGUUUUUAGCAGUAUCAGAUUCCUGGUUUAAUGAAGCAAUAUUUUAUCCUUCUGAAGCACAUUUUCAAACCCUGAUGCCACAGACUGCUUCACAGGAGAGAGAAAGAAGCUCUAAAUGUGGAUAAGACACAGUUAGAAGAGAAAUCCCCUUGAGUUUCACCUUGAAGAACAUUUCUUUCUUUGUGUGUGUGCUCAUGCAUGUGUGUGUGGAUGUACAUGUACCCAAAUGAAAGACAAAUGAAGGUGAGCUGUAGCAUCAGGGGAGCUGAACUCCUAAUGCUUGUGUGACAAUUUCAGCUAUAACCUUCAAGUAACCCCUGCUGGACCCAAAGUGUUCCUAUAAAACACUGCAUGUGUGUAUUUGUGUCUAAGAUCAUAUAUGACCUCUAAGUGAGCGCUAUACAGGGCAUAAAGCACUCUGCAGGGAUCAUGUGGUAUUUGAUGCUGCUGUGUGUCUCCACAGAGCGUGUGCAGUGCAGCCUGUCUAACUGAAGUUCAUGCUGACAAAGCUAACAGACGGUUACGCUUGUGUUCCUACGGUUCCAACAGCAGCAGCCGUCCUCCUCCAGAAUACCCCCGCCCUCCCCUUGUUUUCUUUCCCGAGCAUCCGCUUCCCAUGGUAUUCCCUUUUCUCUCCACCCACCACCUGCUUCUGCUUCCUAACCCCUCCCCCAAUCUUGUAUAUCAUCAUUUUCACUUUGGUGCUCGGCAGCACCCCACCGCCGUCACCAUGGAAACAGGGGAACAACAGCAGGUUGGCUGUUGCUGCUGCCUGGAGGCGUGGCGUCGCUGUGCUCCUCUCCCUCCACUCACGCUGAAUCCAUGGAUCAGGAUCGUCCCUUUGAAUGUGAAUCAGUCAGGAACACAACUGAACAACAACAUACCAGAGCAGAGAGACAUACUGUACUCAUUAGCAUUGUUGUGCCGUAGAAACAAAACACUGAACUGGAUAAUGCUCCCAUGCGACAUUCACAAGCCUCCAUAGCUCAAAGAUACAAGCAUUCAUUUUAAAUUAGUCAUUCUGUUUGCCUUUUUUUUUUUUUUUUAACCAACAAACAAGUUCUUCGUUGCCAAAGAAUACACACACGUAUCUGCUGCUUUCUACUCAACAUGAAGCUCCAGGGUUUAAGGCACAACCUCAUUCACUGACUUUAUAGGCAAUGUGGGUGAGGGGAACAUGAAUCUGUCCAAGUGCAUGUUUCACAGUUCAUCGGACUAGAAUCCUGAAAAUCGACACCGAGUAGAUGAUAAAAUACGUCACACAACUAUCUCUGUCAUCACAGAUGUGAGGUUGUUACCUUGUGGGGGGAAAGCCGGUUAAAGCUGCUUUAUAAUACAGGUACAUGAUAGUAAAUUUACUGCAUCUUAGAGAAAUCCUUUAGCAAAAAACAUCACAGGUUUGCCAGGUAAAAUCAAGCAUUUGAGCAGAGAAGACAACUUCUGAAGUAUUAGUUUUAGAAACCAAAAUAAAAACAUAUUUUUCAUACAUCAUUUAAAGUGGGGAUAUUGUAAAUACUGUACACCACCAGAGUCUAAAAUCACUGGUUCCCAACCAGGAAGCUGAAUUCAGAAAGCCCUAAGGUGAACUAAAGAGUCACAAGAUGAUUACAGAUUACUGAGAGUGGCUUUAGUCAUUGAAUAAACCCCUAAAAACCCCUGUCUGUCAAAGUUACAUAUUUCUUUCCAAUGAAAACACUCUCUUAAUACUGUAACAUGGCUUGGAUGUAAUCGUUACUUCCUCUAGAGUGAAUCUACGUAGUCCCUGUCUCUCUUCAUGCACCUUCAUCCCACUAACUGCAGCUCAAGCAGCACAUCAAUUCGCCCACAACUCCAAUCAAACACUGUAAAAUGACUCCAUGCUACACAUUGACAGGUUUACUUUAGUAAUUUAGCUGAACAUGUUUGAACUGGAAAGCAAUUUUAAGGAAGAAUAAUGAAAGGAUUGGUCUCUUAGAUCUGUUAUAUAUGAAACCCUGAAGUGAAUGGUACACAGCAGUUUCGGGGUAGAAAAGCCUAACAAUGGUGUUGACUGCUUAUAUAGUUCACUAUAAGCUUACAAAAUACAAUUUGUACAUGAUAAUAAGGUGAAAAAACCAGUAGGGGUCUCAAAAAACUACAUUCUGCUUCAAAGAAUAGUAUUAAAUUCCACCGCUCUCAA